GAUAUUUUAGAUAGAUAUGAUUUUUAAACACUUCAAAGACCUACAGAAUAUGGCAUUUAAGGUGUUUAAUAACCUGUGGUUUUUCAUGAUAGUGAGACCCAUCUGCUCCUGGGGCAGUACUAGUUUACUUCAGAUAAGAUGAUGGGCAUCAGAGAAACUCCAUACUGAGUUUUCUUUCAUUUUGGCAAAGUAAGCCAUUUGGCCAAGAAACUUCUUUUGCCUUGACUGCUUGCAGUGUUCUUUGCAGAGCAGAACACAAAGGAAACAACUGCUGAACUUUGCCAAAACAAGGUAGAACAGUCCUUCCAAAUUCCUGAUUAAUAGAUGUCUGUCAGAUAUUCUAGGCCUAUAACCUGAAGAUGGAUGCCCCAAUAUUGCAGAGGAACCCGGGGUGACUGUCCAGACAGCCAGAUGUCUCCAUCAUUUUGGAAGUGGCUUGCUCUGCACUUUCUGUUUACUCAGAAUCUCGGGUGAAGGAUUCAUGAACUCUGUAGGUAAUAUCAUCAUGCUGCAAUGCCAAAGGCCUGGACACAUCUGAUAUAUUCUACCCAUCAGAUCUGAAGAAUUAGGCCCUUAUAGACUGGAUCAUCAUGACCUUGAGAGUGGCAUCUGCCAGACAGUAUAGCCAAAGCAGUGAACUCCAAGUUCAGUCAGUGAUCUGUCUCAAAAGAAUAAGGUGGAGUGAUUGAGGGGGACACCCACCGUGGACCUCUGGCUUUCCCAUGCACGUGUAUGCGCACACUCACAUGGUGCACAUAUACAACUCAGCAAUGACACGAGUCAGCAGUAGCCUGCUGGCCUGGCAUGCUGCUUCAUCACAGAUCUUAGGACUCAUUCACAGAACGUGUUCUGCUGGCUAGCACAUGCAGCAUGAUCCAUCAUGCUGCAGUCACUCUGCUGUCCAGCAGGAACACUCUCACCAUCAUCAUCUUCAGACGGUGCUGAUCCGUCCUGACAAAUCCUGAAUCUGUCUUCACACCUGCAGUUUGGCACUCCUGUGGAUCCUGCCAUCUCCUUCUCUGCAGGCUGCCUGUGGUACCAGCAUUCCCUGCAUUGCAAACAUCUCUGUACACACCGCCUGUGUGGAUAGCUCCUUCCUUCCAGAUGACUGAACCACCUCAUUGGAUGUUUCCUCUCUGAGGACAAGAUUGGAAAAUUCUAGAUAAAUAAAUGUGUCAGAAGCUCUGCAGACACAAAACACUCCAAGCACUAAGACUGAUGUCAGUUGUUGGAAUCUGCCUUAAAUAAACUCUGCCAGACCCUGACUAAG